rnacentral:tRNA from 2 species
CGGGGCAUAGCGCAGUGGUAGCGCGCUGCCUUGGGGUGGCAGAGGUCCCGGGUUCAAGUCCCGGUGCCCCGA